UAGACUGUGGGAGGAAAGCCACCCAGACAUAGAGAAACAUGCAAGCUUACACAAAGACAGGGAAGGGCUGUGAAGCCUCAGUGCUGUCUGAGGCCACAGCCACCAUACCACAGUGUCUGCAUGGGGUGGGAGAGCAGUGAGAGGCAAGCUGUGUGCAUGUUGCCUCACAGUUUUUCCAGACUGGCUUCCUGAAGACGCACGAGUGCUAGCAUCAUAUGCAAACAUAUACCCUUCCAAAUCUCCUGAAUCAACCCAUCUGGUUCGAAGAAAUGCAGGCUUUUCAAAAUUUCCUUCGUCAUUCCAAGAUUGAUUGGAAUAUGAUGGCUUCCAAGAUGCUUUUUCGUUUCAACAACAAUAUCUUUAUGCGUGCAUUGUUAACAAACAGGCAAAUGUUUGCCUUUAUUUCUGCUUCAUUAAGCAUUAAAUGUAUAAUCAGUGGUGUGGUUGUUGUGCUUCUGGCAAUUUGAUUCAAAUGUUAGAAAUAUUAGCUGUCUUUUUAAAGAAUGCCCUUUUCUGAAUAUUUUGUAGUUAAUCCUGGAAACAUACAAUUGUUUAUUUUGCCCAUGGCUAUGUGUCCAAAUGUAUUUUAAGUUUUCUACUUUCAUAAAUACUGUAUUUAUGUCUUUCUAUGUAAGAUAGACAUAUUUAGGUUUUUAUUUACCAAAAUAAUUCUGAGACAUAUGAUAUGAAAAAUAUUACAUUUUUCAUUCUAUCUACCUCGGAGUACAGAUGUCUCUCUGAAUUGCUUUAUAAUCAGAGCCCUUAAACACCCCUUAAAUUGAUCUUGACUACUAAAGUAGGACACUGAGUUGAGGACUAAGCAUGAUGGUGCAACCCAUGCAUUGAGUUAUGUGAUGUUCAAGUACGCUUUCCUCUUUCCAUGCAAAUCUUCACUGGAAAAGAAAACGACAGAACUGAAUUAAAAGUGCAUUCGAGGUGUGCAUAAAUCUCA